CGCGUAGGCGGGAUGGCAAGUCGGUCGUGAAAUCCCUCGGCUCAACUGAGGAGCGUCGAUCGAAACUGCCGUUCUUGAGGGUUGCAGAGGAGACUGGAAUUCCCGGUGUAGCGGUGAAAUGUGUAGAGAUCGGGAGGAACACCGGUGGCGAAGGCGGGUCUCUGGGCAACUCCUGACGCUGAGGCGCGAAAGCGUGGGGAGCGAACAGGAUUAGAUACCCUGGUAGUCCACGCCGUAAACGAUGGGUGCUAGGUGUGGGCGGUGUCGACUCCGUCCGUGCCGAAGCUAACGCAUUAAGCACCCCGCCUGGGGAUACGGCCGCAAGGCUAAA
rnacentral:rRNA from 1 species